rnacentral:rRNA from 1 species
AGAGACAGCAGCCGCCGCGGUAAUACGUAGGUGGCGAGCGUUGUCCGGAAUUAUUGGGCGUAAAGGGAGCGCAGGCGGACAUAUAAGUCCAUCUUAAAAGUGCGGGGCUCAACCCCGUGAGGGGAUGGAAACUGUAUGCCUUGAGUGCAGGAGAGGAAAGCGGAAUUCCCAGUGUAGCGGUGAAAUGCGUAGAUAUUGGGAGGAACACCAGUGGCGAAGGCGGCUUUCUGGACUGCAACUGACGCUGAGGCUCGAAAGCCAGGGGAGCGAACGGGAUUAGAUACCCCUGUAGUCCCUGUCUCUUAUACA